UGAGGGAUAUUGGUCAAUGGGGGGAACCCUGAACCAGCAACGCCGCGUGAGGGAAGACGGUUUUCGGAUUGUAAACCUCUGUCCUAUGUGAAGAUAAUGACGGUAGCAGAGGAGGAAGCUCCGGCUAACUACGUGCC
rnacentral:rRNA from 1 species